rnacentral:rRNA from 1 species
CCUACGGGAGGCAGCAGUGGGGAAUUUUGGACAAUGGGCGCAAGCCUGAUCCAGCCAUGCCGCGUGGGUGAAGAAGGCCUUCGGGUUGUAAAGCCCUUUCGGCUGGGACGAAAAGGUUCGGGUUAGUAACCCGGAUCCAUGACGGUACCAGCAGAAGAAGCACCGGCUAACUACGUGCCAGCAGCCGCGGUAAUACGUAGGGUGCAGGCGUUAAUCGGAAUUACUGGGCGUAAAGCGUGCGCAGGCGGUUUGCUAAGAGAGAUGUGAAAUCCCCGGGCUUAACCUGGGAACUGCGUUUCUAACUGGCAGGCUUGAGUGUGGCAGAGGGGGGUGGAAUUCCACGUGUAGUAGUGAAAUGCGUAGAGAUGUGGAGGAACACCGAUGGCGAAGGCAGCCCCCUGGGCUAACACUGACGCUCAUGCACGAAAGCGUGGGGAGCAAACAGGAUUAGAUACCCUGGUAGUCCACGCCCUAAACUAUGUCAACUGGUUGUCGGGGAAGCAAUUCCUUGGUAACGAAGCUAACGCGUGAAGUUGACCGCCUGGGGAGUACGGCCGCAAGGUUAAAACUCAAAGGAAUUGACGG